GGUUCCAUAGUGUAGUGGUUAACACGUCAGCUUUACAUGCAGAAGGUCCUGGGUUCCCACUCUAGGUGGAGCCA
rnacentral:tRNA from 1 species